GGGAGCCUAUAAUUUAAUUUGAUGUUUUUGUGAUAAUAGUAUUUAAUUAGUAACCCGGUCAUAAUAGUACUUAAUUAGUAACCCAAUUACAAGAAAACAUACUCCCUUCACCACUGGCGACUUCCCCUCUCUCAUCCCUUCUCCAAAAUCAGAGUUCCUCCCCAAAAAUUGAGGAUCGGCGAACCCUAGCUCCUCCAUCGCCAUUCUCCAGCUCCGCCGUCGUUACUGGUCAGCCGGCAUACGACGCCAUCUGCGCCAUCACCCUCUCUCUCUUUCUUCCAUCACCCUCUCUCUCUUUCUUCUUACGGCGAAAUUGACACUCCCAACGGGCUGCCGGAGCCUCAUCGGCGCCAUCUGUCUCCUCCCAUCUCUCGCCUUCUCCGGCGGAUUCUCGCCCGGGGUGGCUUUCUUCUUCCUCAUCUCGGGUUUUCCUCUACUCUCUUACCAAAUUGGAACCUGGGAAGCCCCAAUUGAAAGAGGACAUCGGUGACUUGUUGUUAUCGGUCAUCUCCGUCGAGUCCCUUCACCCGACGAAGUCGCCGACAGGAGACAGCCGGUCUGCUCCCUCAAUGGUACACGGACAACCUCACGGCCUAAGCUAAGUUUUCCUUCUCCUAUUACUUAGCCCAAUUGGUUUGAAUUUCCGGCAGCAAUGUGUGAUUUAAAAGCAUUGACUAUGGUUGUGAUCAAGGUUUGAUCUUGUGAAAUUCUGCUUACUGGAAAGUUUAAGUUGCUUGUUUCUGAUUUUGAACUAAGAGUAGCUUAUGAUUUUUGGAUUCCUAACAUGAUGUGCCUACUUUCCUCAAGAGUUCAUGCUUUUAUGUUUCUAUCAUGUGGAGGAGGGAGUGUUACCUUUUGAAAGUAGCUACUGUCUUUUAUUUUCUGCUCCUAAUUCUUCAAGGUUCACUCUCCCACUCUGAAAUUUCUUGUUGCAAUGUAAGGGAAAGGGGUGAGCUUGUGUUUUAGCAUGAAAUACUUGUGGGAAGGGAGGAAUAGCGUUACCUAUGGAGAGUAGGAACUGCCCUUUGUGCAAGAACUCUCUGCAGAAAUUUACUCACUCACCCUAACUCACUACUCUCUUGAAACUUGCUAUGUUGCUGAGAUUUUGAAGUAUGUGGGAGGAGAAUUUGGUGAGUUUGAAGAGGUUUUUAUACAGGAAGCGUGUGUACUCGCGAGGCUUUAAUUGGGGCUGUUACAUUCUUGUUUUCUCUCAGCAGUGAAUCCUCUCUUUUAGGAUUUUGCAGCAUCUUUAACUGCAGCUUUGAUGGUGUACUAGGGAUAAAGACUGUUGCAUUUAUUUUGUUGGUUUCUCUCUUCUUCUCCGGUGCACUUGGCAGAGCCGAGGUUGGGAGGGAUUACAAAGGUUGCAAGGGUUUGUUAGGGGCAGGGAUGCAGAGCCGCUGCCCCCCCUUUUCUGGUUCGGCAGCUUUCGGUUAUGAGGAUGAGGGGGUUAUAGGAGCUGGCUGGGCUCUAGCCUUGGAGAAACUGUAAUUCUCGGCUGCUGUGUUGUUGCUGUCUUCGCGGGGCUGGGCUCACUGCUCUGGGCCGACGAGCCGUCGAAAAUUCGGGCCGAAAUCCGGGCCUACGGAAGAGGCCCGAAGUUGGCGUUCCUAGCGUUGUAAUAGGAUAGGGUCUUCUUUUUGUUUUGUUCUUCUUUCCUUUCUCAAACAUGUGUAGUCGAGCGUUUUAGCUCGGGAAUAACAUUUAAGUCGUGUUCACCUCGACAUUCUUGUGUAUUAUUUUCCUCUAUUAUUAUUUUACUUUUUUUGUAAACUAAGGCAUAGGUCGGAAUUUAAUACGUUUUUCGAUC